rnacentral:misc_RNA from 1 species
GAACGCACAUUGCGCCCCCUGGCAUUCCGGGGGGCACACCUGUCCGAGCGCCGUCGCAACACUGAGGCUCUGCCUUGCGUUGGCGAGCGGCCCGGCAUGCGGUUUGCAAAAGCAGCAUGCGGGGCCGACGCCCAAACACCGACGGCGCCGCAACUCGGCCGGCAAUGCGCAAAAAGCAAAGUCGACCGGGUUUGUGGCCGCCUGUAAUCCAAAACAUUACAAGCACGCUUGGCCUCGGAUCAGGUGGGGAUACCCGCUGAACUUA